rnacentral:rRNA from 1 species
UACGUAGGGUGCAAGCGUUAUCCGGAAUUAUUGGGCGUAAAGAGCUCGUAGGCGGUUUGUCGCGUCUGCUGUGAAAACUGGGGGCUCAACCCCCAGCCUGCAGUGGGUACGGGCAGACUAGAGUGCGGUAGGGGUGACUGGAAUUCCUGGUGUAGCGGUGGAAUGCGCAGAUAUCAGGAGGAACACCGAUGGCGAAGGCAGGUCACUGGGCCGCAACUGACGCUGAGGAGCGAAAGCAUGGGGAGCGAACAGG